rnacentral:rRNA from 1 species
AGCAGCCGCGGUAAUUCCAGCUCCAAUAGCGUAUAUUAAAGUUGUUGCAGUUAAAAGCUCGUAGUUGAAUUUCGGGGUCAGCAGGUCGGUCGUGCCACUGGUAUGUACUGGCUUUGCUGAUUCCUCCCUCUUGACGAACCGUAAUGCCAUUAAUUUGGUGUUGCGGGAAAUCAGGACUGUUACUUUGAAAAAUUGAGUGUUUAAAGCAGGCUUACGCUUGAAUACAUUAGCAUGGAAUAAUGAAAUAGGACGUUCGACCCUAUUUUGUUGGUUUCUAGGAUUGACGUAAUGAUUAAUAGGGAUAGUUGGGGGCAUUAGUAUUCAAUUGUCAGAGGUGAAAUUCUUGGAUUUAUUGAAGACUAACUACUGCGAAAGCAUUUGCCAAGGAUGUU